GGGAACUUGGAGCAGAAGAAAGGAAAGGGAGACAUUAGGAGGGAAGCCCUGAGCCUCACAAGAGCAGAGAAGUAAGAAACUGUGGAUGAAAAGGGAGAACAUGCUGAGAGGUAUGAGGGAGACACCAAGAAUAAGCAGCAGAGGUAUAAUUUCAGAGAACCUGUAAGAAACCUCUUCAAGCUAUUGCAAGAAACACUCACUUCUAAAAAUAAAGAGAAAUCUGUUUUCCCUACUUGUAUUUCAAGUUAUCUAAAAGUAAAACCAAUUACACAGUGAU
ensembl:lncRNA LINC01034 long intergenic non-protein coding RNA 1034